UGACGGUAGCAUGCGGCGCAGCCUCAAC
rnacentral:sRNA from 1 species